rnacentral:sRNA from 1 species
UGGCCAAGAUGGAGAGCAACCUGAGCCGCGGGGAUCAAAUCCUGGAAGUGAACUCCGUCAAUGUCCGCCAUGCUGCUUUAAGCAAAGUCCACGCCAUCUUGAGCAAAUGUCCUCCAGGACCCGUUCGCCUUGUCAUCGGCCGGCACCCUAAUCCAAAGGUACCCCCUUGAAGAGUCCCUCUCUUGCAAAAAAGGACUCCCUUAUUUCUGAAUCUGAACUCUCCCAGUACUUUGCCCACGAUGUCCCUGGCCCCUUGUCAGACUUCAUGGUGGCCGGUUCUGAGGACGAGGAUCACCCAGGAAGUGGCUGCAGCACGUCGGAGGAGGGCAGCCUGCCUCCCAGCACCUCCA